rnacentral:rRNA from 1 species
CCUACGGGUGGCUGCAGUGGGGAAUAUUGGACAAUGGGGGAAACCCUGAUCCAGCGACGCCGCGUGUGUGAAGAAGGCCUGCGGGUUGUAAAGCACUUUUAGUGGGGAUGAAAAGUUCAGGGCUAAUACCCUUGGAUCUUGACCUAACCCAAAGAAAAAGCACCGGCUAACUCUGUGCCAGCAGCCGCGGUAAUACAGAGGGUGCGAGCGUUAAUCGGAAUUACUGGGCGUAAAGCGUGCGUAGACGGUUCCGUAAGUCGGAUGUGAAAUCCCCGGGCUCAACCUGGGAAUUGCAUUCGAGACUGCGAGGCUAGGGUGCGGAAGAGGGAAGCGGAAUUUCCGGUGUAGCGGUGAAAUGCGUAGAUAUCGGAAGGAACAUCAGUGGCGAAGGCGGCUUCCUGGUCCAGCACCGACGUUCAGGCACGAAAGCGUGGGGAGCAAACAGGAUUAGAUACCCCUGUAGUC